UACGGAGGGUGCAAGCGUUAUCCGGAUUCACUGGGCUUAAAGGGUGCGUAGGUGGGCUGGUAAGUCAGUGGUGAAAUCUCCAGGCCUAACUUGGAAACUGCCAUUGAUACUAUCAGUCUUGAAUACCGUGGAGGUCAGCGGAAUAUGUCAUGUAGCGGUGAAAUGCUUAGAUAUGACAUAGAACACCAAUUGCGAAGGCAGCUGGCUACACGAAUAUUGACACUGAUGCACGAAAGCGUGGGGAUCAAACAGG
rnacentral:rRNA from 1 species